AUGUCGGUUUUAUUGGAGAAAAUAAGAAACAUUGACACAAAUGCCGCUAAUCACGUGAAAGAGGCUGGUUUUAGGUCGGAUUCAGAGAUCAGGUCUCUAACUCGAGAGGACCUGCAAGAAAUGUUUCCUGGAUUAGAGAAGACGAGCAUGAGGAAGAGAAUCUUUGAAACGAUAAGCAACACAGAUCCAACAAAUGUGCUCCUGACAAAACUCAAAGAUUUUAUCCCGCGUGAUAAUCUCAAAGCUGCUCUGUCCAACAACGGGGUUUUGGUGGACUACUUUCACCAGCUGAAGGACACGCAGACCCAACUGAACAAUGUGCAGAAAUUCCUGGAGGCUAAUAUUAGAUUCCUGGAGGAAAGUCGUGAUGCUCCAUCAGGACAGGAAACUGCAUCAGCUUCUACAUCAACUGCUGUGACCCACCAGAGUGAGAACAAUACCAACAUCUCCAGUUCAGAAACCCCUCAAGGAAACGACAACGUUCAGGAACAGAAUAUGGAAACAGACAACAAAGGUGAAAUCAUGUCUGGUUUAUUGAAGAAAAUAAGAAAAAUUGACCACCAGGCUGCUGAUGAAAUAGAAAAGGCUGAUUUAAGAUCUGAUUCAGAGAUCAAGUGUCUGAGUCGAGUGGACCUGCAAGAACUGUUUCCUGGGCCAGAUAAGCUACAGAUGAGGAAGAGCAUCUUUGAAACAAUAAACGAAAAGGAUUCAGUAACUGAGCUCCUAAAUGAUCUCCGUGCUUUCAUCUCACAUGAUAAUCUCAAAGCUGCUCUGUCCAACAACGGGGUCUUGGUGAAAUACCUGAACAUCCUGAAGGACAUGCAGACUCAGCAGAACAACGUGCAAAAGUUCCUGGAGGCUAAUAUUAGGUUUCUAGAGACCAGCCGCGAUGCUCAACCAAGGCAGGGACCUGCAUCAGCUUAUACAUCAAAUGCUGUGGCUAAGCGGAGUGAUAAGAAUACAGAAGUCCUCAGUACACGACCCUCACAAGUUUAUGUGACAGAAAGUUCCAGGAUGACGGGCGCUCAUGGCAACAGCAGCCAAAGUUCCUAUGGCAGCUCUUAUAGCCAUUCACAGAAACCUCCAGUAACAGUGAAAUACAAGACGGUGGUCAGCGGCAAAACGUUCAACGCCAAUGGGCAGAUUCUCGACCAGAUACGGUCUUCAGCUCCAGAGUUGAACUUGGUUGAAGUGGAAGCGACUACAUGUGUAGAUGAUUCUGAGAUCACUUUAGUCUUCUGUCCAAUCGUUUCUCGUGUUGGGACAGAUGUUGAAGCAGCCAUGAAAACGGUUCCAGGCGACAAACCUGUCAUUUUGCUGUUGAUGCACCACGUUCACGAAGUAAAGUACGUUCCCUCGAUGAGGACCUGGCCUGACCACCAUAACAUUGUGCUGCAUGUUAAUGUUUUCUACCAUGAGAAAGUGCCUGGGUUAAUCGUUUGCCAAAAGAACGUCGAAGCCAUCACUGCAGUGAAAAAUGAAAUGCUGAAAUAUGGAAUAACAGAUGUACGUAGUGGUUAUUUAUCUGACACUGCCAGUCUAUCAAGCCAUGAUACAGGUGUUGUCACCCACUCUUUAUCUCAGAGAGAUAAUCAAAGCAAGUUGUAUAGUUGGAAUCCAAUGAAUUGGUCAAUAAGAAAAUAA
rnacentral:lncRNA from 1 species